GGUAGUUAUCCUAAAGUUUUUGAUGGGUGAGGGUUUGGUGCAUGUUUUAUUUUAAUCAUGACUAGAUCCACACUCAUCCAAAAAUUUGGUGU
rnacentral:pre_miRNA from 1 species